GAAUAGCUCAACUGGUUAGAGCAUGAUGCUCAUAACACCAAGGUUGCAGGUUUGAUCCCCAUAAGGAACA